rnacentral:rRNA from 1 species
AACGAACGCUGGCGGCAUGCCUAACACAUGCAAGUCGAACGAGACCUUCGGGUCUAGUGGCGCACGGGUGCGUAACGCGUGGGAACCUGCCCUUAGGUUCGGAAUAACUCCCCGAAAGGGGUGCUAAUACCGGAUAAUGUCUUCGGACCAAAGAUUUAUCGCCUUUGGAUGGGCCCGCGUUGGAUUAGCUAGUUGGUAGGGUAAAAGCCUACCAAGGCGACGAUCCAUAGCUGGUCUGAGAGGAUGAUCAGCCACACUGGGACUGAGACACGGCCCAGAAUACUACGGGAGGCAGCAGUGGGGAAUAUUGAACAAUGGGCGAAAGACUGAUCCAGCAAUGCCGCGUGAGUGAUGAAGGCCUUAGGGUUGUAAAGCUCUUUUACCCGGGGUGAUAAUGACAGUACCGGGAGAAUAAGCUCCGGCUAACUCCGUG